CAGCAGCCACGGUAAUACGAAGGGUGCAAGCGUUAAUCGGAAUUACUGGGCGUAAAGCGUGCGUAGGCGGUGAGUUAAGUCUGCUGUGAAAUCCCCGGGCUCAACCUGGGAAUGGCAGUGGAUACUGGCUCGCUAGAGUGUGUCAGAGGAUGGUGGAAUUCCCGGUGUAGCGGUGAAAUUCGUAGAUAUUGGGAAGAACACCGGUGGCGAAGGCGGCAACCUGGCUCAUUACUGACGCUGAGGCGCGAAAGCGUGGGGAGCAAACAGGAUUAGAUACCCCCGUAGUCCCUGUCUCUUAUAC
rnacentral:rRNA from 1 species